ensembl:snRNA U6 U6 spliceosomal RNA
GUGCCCGCUUCGGCAGCACAUUUACUAAAAUUGGAACGAUACAGAGAAGAUUAGCACCGCCCCUGCGCAAGGAUGACAUGCAAAUUCGCGAAGCGCUCCAUAUUAAA